AUGUGACGACACAACGGUGAAACGAAAGAGGAAGUGAAGUGACUCGCUAGAUACCGAACAAAUCUUGCCUACUCUCGUAAGAAGAUUUACAUUACAACUUACAAGCCAUGGACACAUGUGAUGUGAAGAUGUACUACAUCCUCAUAGAGGAACCUGGGUUACCCAUGUUGCUCAUCAAUGCUGGCCACAUUUGUUACAUCAAGGAGAGCAGGUACAUGUCAAUGCUUCCCAGAUCUGCAUGUCUGCAGGAAUUGCCUGUCAUCUGUAGGGGCUCCACUUAUGACGUGUUCCUGAAGGUAAAGGACCUAAAACCAGUGACUGCUAAGGAGGCAGAGCUGCUGCAAGCCCUAGGAGAGGACUCAGAGAGACUGAAGUGGUAUUUAGAGAGGGAUGCUUUGGCUACAGCCCUGGGUUUAAGUAAGGAUACACCUGUCACUGUGGAGUUGGAUGGGAAGUGGCUGCAGGGAAUUGUACGGUACGUCGGAAGGUUGACAGAGCCAAAGUUCACAGACCCCAUCGUAGGAACCUUCUUUGGCAUUGAACUACAGGGAGAAGACAAAGGAAAGGGACCAUCAGAUGGGACAUAUCUGUCAAAAACCCUAUUCCCCUGCAAGAAAGACUGUGGGAUUUUUGCUCCAUUUUCCAGAGUGAAACCCAUGUUUUCCAAACCCAAAUUGGUGUCCAAGUGUCUGACCUUUCCAGCAGCCCAGCUGGCCCCGCAACCGUCGUCCCAACAGGCCCAACAUCAGCCCCUCUCCACCGGAGACAGAGUCACCUUCUUCAUGGACGAGGACAUCCUCCAUGGGAUGGUGAUGGAUCUGGAGGAGAAGGACGGCAGGACCUUAGUCAUCAUCUCUACUGACCGGGAUGAGAAGAUCACUCUACCUCUGGACAGCGUCAUCAAAGGGGAACUGCUUCAACAGGAGCCUGAGCCUAUGGAGACUGAUAAGGCCGUUAUGUCUAUGGAGGAGGUUCACCCCUUGGGGCUUGGUGUUGAUUCUCUAGUGGAGGUGACUCUGGCUAUAGGACCUGGCUAUGGAACCAUCCGCUGGAUAGGCACUUUGCCUGGGCAGAAAGGAACCUACGCUGGACUGGAGCUGGAGGAUGGGUACACUGGGGUUAGUAAUGGUACCUUUAAAGACCAUCGGUUCUUCAGAUGUCUUCCUAGACAAGGUCUCUUCGUCAAGCUUCUUUCCUGCCGGCCUGACUCCCGCUUCCAGGGGGCAUCAGCCAAUGUCCUUCAAGAGAGACAGGCGUUGCACAGCCCUGGGGCGCUCCCCUCCUCCCCCAUCGCCUCUGACCAGGUUGAGAGGAUGCUGAUUGGUCGAAUGAAGGGGAUCCAGGGCCAUAUAAACUCUUGCUACAUGGACUCGGCCCUCUUCAGUCUGUUCUCCUGUUCCUCAGUGUUGGACUCCCUGCUGUUUAAGUCAACAGAGCCUAGGGAUGCCCCCAUCCAGAGUACCCUGCUACAUGACAUCGUCAACCCGCUCCGCAGUGAAGGUUUUGUGGAAGGGAGACACAUUAUGAAGCUUCGUCAGCAGCUGCAGGAGCUUGGAUACUGCCACACAUUCACCACAGAGGAGAAAGAUCCAGAAGAGUUUCUUACCCUCAUUAUGCACCAUAUUUUCUGUCUGGAUCCUCUCCUCAAACUGUCAGCAGGGGGAAAGGUCCAGGACAGUUACUGUUAUCAAAUCUUCCUGGAUAACAACCACAGCCUGGUUCUGCCUACUGUCCAACACCUGCUGGAACACUCCUUCCACAGCGCAGGACUCAAACUGGCAGAGGUGCCGUCUUGUCUGAUCCUCCAGAUGCCUCGCUUUGGGAAGAAGUUCAAGAUGUUUCAGAAGAUUAUCCCUUCACUGGAGCUGGACAUUACUGACCUCCUCUCUGAAGGUCCCCAGCAGUGUGUGUUGUGUGGUCAGCUGGCAUAUGAGGAGUGUGUGGACUGCUUCAGAGACCCAGUCUUCAGCAGGACAGGAUUUAAAGUGUUCUGCAGGACCUGCUCCUCUCAGGUGCACUCUCACCCCGAGCGGCUGUCCCACAGCCCCUCCCCCCUGCAGCUCCCUGAGGGUUACCCUGCCCCCACUACCCUCCGACCCCCGCCCCCUGCCCCACCCAGAGAGAGACUGGAGCUGUUUGCAGUGCUGUGCAUAGAGACCAGUCACUAUGUCUCCUUCAUCAAACAUGGACCAAACAGCACAGACUGGAUCUUCUUUGACAGCAUGGCUGACAGACAUGGAGAGAGGGAUGGCUUCAACAUUCCCCAGGUGGAGGCAUGUCCAGAGGUUGGCAUGUACCUGGUCAUGUCUCCUGCCGAGCUGGCCAACCAGGUGCCUCGGGACAUGAAGGGCGUGGCUAAGCGUCUGUUCUGUGAUGCCUACAUGUACCUGUACCAGAGUACCAGCAUCAGCCUCUACCGCUGACAGAAGGCGGGUCCACAUGGGUAAUUCCACACCUCAAAUUUGAGCGCUGUACAACUAUUGUACUACUUGUCUCAUCGGGCAGAAAAGGGAGCGCCUCAAAGCUGAAUAAAUCAACAGUGAUAACAUCUUCUCACCACUUCAUAUUCCUAAUGUGAUCAGAGGGAGAUGAGAGAGGGUCAGAGAGAGAGAGAGAAUCACUUAGAGGUAGGGACAGAAGCUGGGGGGCGGGGGCAUUGCUUUUGGAAGGAUGUUGGAACACUUUUCUUUAGGAAGUGGGUUAACUAAGGAGAUCAUUUGAUCUGAUAAACAUUAACACAGGAGCAGCAUACUAUUUAGCCUCAAUCUAUAUGAAAUAAUAAACAUGUUUGUUAUAUCUCUGUGCUCAAAAGGUUAUUCUGAGGUGAGCCUCUGGCGUAUGACUGGGCUACAUCCCAAAUGGCACCCUGUUUCAUAUAAAGUGCACUACUUUUGACCAGAGCACUACAUACUGUAGGGAAUGGGGUGUGAUUUGGGAUACAUCUGGAAUUACACAAGGCAGGUAUUGAUGUACAGAAAAUCACAUCUCUUUGACAUUUAUAGAGCCAAUUUAUAUGAAAUUGCCAAUUUUCUAACUUCCCCCUUUUCUACUCUGUGAGGUCAUUAUGGUGCAAAAUGAAAGAAAUUAAACCCUUUUCUUCUUCUUUUUUUGUAAUUCUUCUGACUGCACUGGCUACUUCUAUGUACUUCCUAUUUCCUUGCAUUCUCUCUUUUCUUAUCUUGGUAAACUUUGAUAGACGUGUCUAUUAGUUGGCAGCAUUUAUCUUCGUAGGGCACAUGCCAACUCUCCCCCACCCCCCAACCUUCAGAACAAACAGGAUAGCAUUUGCACUCAAAUCCUCAAUUCCUGACCUGAAAUGUUUUUUUCUGUGCCCAAUUCAGACAUAUCACAUGAUGGGUCCUGACCCUGGUCAGUGGUGUAAAGUACUUAGGUAAAAAUAUUUUAGAGUACUACUUAAGUAGUUUUUUACUUGACUAUUUAUAUUUUUGACAUCUUUUUCUUCAAUGCAUUCCUAAAGAAAAUAUUGUACUUUCUACCCAAAAGUAUUCGUUACAUUUUGAAUGCUUAGCAGGACAGGACGGUCCUUCUGUGGCUCAGUUGGUAGAGCAUGGCGCUUGUAACGCCAGGGUAGUGGGUUCGAUUCCCGGGACCACCCAUACGUAGAAUGUAUGCACACAUGACUGUAAGUCGCUUUGGAUAAAAGCGUCAGCUAAAUGGCAUUUAUUAUUAUUAUUAUUAUUAAAAUGGUCUAAUUCACGCACUUAAAGAGAACGUCACUGGUCAUCCCUACUGCCACUGAUCUUGCGGACUCACUAGACACAUGCUUUGUUUGUAAAUGAUGUCUGAAUGUUGGAGUGUACCCCUGGCUAUCCGUAAAUUUAAACAAGAAAGUCAUGCCGUCUGGUUUGCUUAAUAUAAGGAAUUUUAAAUUAUUAAUACUUUUACUUUUGAAUAUUUUAGCAAUUACAUUUACUUUUGCUGUAUAAGUAAAACCAAAUAUUUUUUUACUUUUACUCAAGAAGUAUUUGACUGGGUGACUUUCACUUGAGUCAUUUUCUAUUAAGUUAUCUUUACUUUUACUCAAGUAUGACAAUUGGGUACUUUUUAUACCACUGGGUGUGGCUGACCCUGAGCAAGUAGUUAGUACAGUAGGUCUUCAUAGCUCAUAUGAACCCUCUGAUACUAUUGAGUUCUGACAGGUAAGGCCUUUCUGCUUUCAUACAGUUUCUAUAGCCUGGUCCCAGAUCUGUUUGUGGUAUCGCCAACUCCUUUUCACUCAUUGACACAUCAAACAUAAAUCAAAUCAAAUUUUACUGGUCACAUACACAUGGUUAGCAGAUGUUAAUGCGAGUGUAGCGAAAUGCUUGUGCUUCUAGUUCCGACCAUGCAGUAAUAUCUAACAACUAAUCUAACAAUUUCAGAACAACUACCUUAUACACACAAGUGUAAAGGAAUGAAUAAGAAUAUGUACAUAAAAAUAUAUGGAUGAGCGAUGGCCGAACGGCAUAGGCAAGAUGCAGUAGAUGGUAUAGAGUACAGUAUAUACAUAUGAGAUGUGUAAUGUAGGGUAUGUAAACAUUAUAUAAAGUGGCAUUGUUUAAAGUGGCUAGUGAUACAUUUAUUACAUCCAAUUAUAAAUUAUUAAAGUGGCUAGAGAUUUGAGUCUGUAUGUUUGUUGGCAGCAGCCACUCAAUGUUAGUGAUGGCUGUUUAACAGUCUGAUGGCCUUGAGAAAGAGGCCAUCAGGAGUCUCUCGGUCCCAGCUUUGAUGCACCUGUACUGACCUCGCCUUCUGGAUGAUAGUGGGGUGAACAGGCAGUGGCUCGGGUGGUUGUUGUCCUUGAUGAUCUUUUUGGCCUUCCUGUGACAUCGGUUGGUGUAGGUGUCCUGGAGGCCAGGUAGUUUGCCCCCGGUGAUGCGUUGUGCAGACCUCACUACCCUCUGGAGAGCCUUACGGUUGUGGGCGGAGCAGUUGCCGUACCAUGCGGUGAUACAGCCCGACAGGAUGCUCUUGAUUGUGCAUCUGUAAAAGUUUGUGAGUGUUUUUGGUGACAAGCCAAAUUAAUUCAGCCUCCUGAGGUUGAAGAGGCGCUGCUGUGCCUUCUUCGCCAUGUUGUCUGUGUGGUGGACAUUUCAGUUUGUCCGUGGUGUGUACGCCGAGGAACUUAAAACUUUCCACCUUCUCCACUACUGUCCUGUCGAUGUGGAUAGGGGGGGUGCUCCCUCUGCUGUUUCCUGAAGUCCACGAUCAUCUCCUUUGUUUUGCUGACGUUGAGUGUGAGGUUAUUUUCCUGACGCCACACUCCGAGGACCCUAACCUCCUCCCUGUAGGCCGUCUCGUCGUUGUUGGUAAUCAAGCCUACCACUGUAGUGUCGUCUGCAAACUUGAUGAUUCAGUUGGAGGCGUGCAUGGCCAUGCAGUCAUGGGUGAACAGGGAGUACAAGAGAGGGCUGAGAAUGCACUCUUUUGGGGUCCCAGUGUUGAGGAUCAGCGGGGUGGAGAUGUUGUUUCCUACUCUCACCACCUGGGGGCGGCCUGUCAGGAAGCCCAGGACCCAGUUGCAUAGGGCGGGUCGAGACCCAGGGUCUAGAGCUUGAUGACGAGUUUGGAGGGUACUAUGGUGUUAAAUGCUGAGCUGUAGUCGAUGAACAGCAUUCUUACGUAGGUAUUCCUCUUGUCCAGAUGGGUUAGGGCAGUGUGCAGUGUGAUUGUGAUUGUGUCGUCUAUGGACCUAUUGGGGCGGUAAGCAAAUUGGAGUGGGUCUAGGGUGUCAGGUAUGGUGGAGGUGAUAUGGUCCUUUACUAGUCUCUCAAAGCACUUCAUGAUGAUGGAAGUGAGUGCUACGGGGCGAUAUUCAUUUAGCUCAGUUUCCUUAGCUUUCUUGGGAACAGGAACAACGGUGGCCCUCUUGAACCAUGUGGGAACAGCAGACUGGGAUAAGGAUUGAUUGAAUAUGUCCGUAAACACACCAGCCAGCUGGUCUGCGCAUGCUCUGAGAACGCGGCUAGGGAUGCCGUCUGGGCCGGCGGCCUUGCGAGGGUUAAUCCGUUUAAAUGUUUUACUCACGUUGGCUGCAGGGAAGGAGAAUCCGCAAUUUUUGGUAGCGGGCCGUUUUGCACUAUAUUGCCCUCAAAGCGAGCAAAGAAGUUGUUUAGUUUGUCUGGGAGCAAGACAUUGUGGUCCGCAACUGGGCUGGUUUUCCUUUUGUAGUCCAUGAUUGACUGUAGACCCUGCCACAUACCUCUCGUGUCUGAGCCGUUGAAUUGCUACUCUACUUUGUCUUUAUACUGACGCUUAGCUUGUUUGAUUGCCUUGCGGAGGGAAUAGCUACACUGUUUGUAUUCGGUCAUGUUUCCGGUCGCCUUGCCAUGAUUAAAAGCAGUGGUUCGCGCUUUCAGUUUUUCGUGAAUGUUGCCAUUAAUCCACGGUUUCUGGUUGGGGAAGGUUUUUUUAGUCGCUGUGGGUACAACAUCAAUGAUGCACUUGCUAAUAAACUCGCUCACUGAAUCAGUGUAUUCAUCAAUGUUAUUGACGCUAUGCGGAACAUAUCCCAGUCCACGUGAUCGAAGAAAUCUUGAAGCGUGGAAUCCGAUUGGUCGGACCAGCAUUGAACAGACCUGAGCAUGGCUGUUUCCUGUUUUAGUUUCUGUCUAAAGGCUGGGAGCAAUAAAAUGGAGUCAUCAGAUUUUCCGAAAGGAGGGCCUAAAUUUGGCCUCAGGAUAUGUAGUUUCCAGUUUACAUAGAGUCCAAUGAAGUUCUUUCAGGGCCGCCGAUGUGUCUGCUUUUGGGGGGGUUAUGAUUAUAAUCGAAGAGAAUUCCCUUGGUAGAUAAUGCGAUCGGCAUUUGAUUGUCAGGAAUUAUAGGUCAGAUGAACAAAAGGACUUGAGUCCCUGCAUGUUAUGAUCACCCCCGCCCUUAUUCUUACAAGAGAGAUGUUUGUUUCAGUCGACGCGAUGCGUAAAGAAACCAGGUGGCUGUACCGACUCUGAUAACGUAUCCCGAGUGAGCCAUGUUUUCAUGAAACAAAGAAUGUUACAAUCUUUGAUGUCUCUCUGGAAGGCAACCCUUGCUUGGAUUUUGUCUACCUUGUUGUCAAGAGACUGGACAUUGGUGAGUAGUAAGCUCGGGAGCGGUGCUCGAUGUGCCCGUCUACGGAGCCUGACCAGAAGACCGCUCUGUCUGCCCCUUCUGACUUGACACCGUUGUUUUGGGUCGCCGGCUGGGAUCCGAUCGAGUGUCCUGGGUUGUUGACCAAAGAGAGGAUCCGCUUCAGGAAAGUCGUAUUCCUGGUCGUAUUGUUCGUGAGUUGAAGUUGCUCUUAUAUCCAAUAGUUCCUCCCGACUGUAUGUAAUAAAAUUUAAGAUUUCCUGGGGUAACAAUGUAAGAAAUAACACAUAAAAAAACUAAAUACUGCAUAGUUACCUAGGAACGUGAAGCGAGGCGGCCAUCUCUGUCGGCGCCGAAAGUUAACAGUGACAUAAUGAGUUGGCAUGAGAGCAGAAAAAGACUGUUACCCAAACUAGAUUUAUUUAUUCUCUUUUAUUCAAUCUCUCUCUUAAUCUGAGCUCGAACAGGCACAUUUAUUAAUCAGCCAAUCAAUAAAUCAAAUAGGACCUUGUCCGUUUUGACAAACAGUACUAACAGUCUUGAAUGAACCAAUCUACUCUGGGACAUUUGUUGUCGUCAUAUGGUUUUUGGCAAAUGAGGGAUGCAUCCCAAACAACACCCUAUUCCCUACAUAGUGCACUACUUUUGACCAGGGCCAAGUCAAAAUAAAUGCACUAUGUAGGGAAUAGGGUGCCAUUUGGUACAAAACCCAGUUUUCUCUCCUGAUUCUCUGUGUACAGACGCUGCUCUUCAGGGGCCUGAAGAACUGAUACACACAGACACAGAAAGAGAGAGAGGGAGAUGGAGUGAUGAAAGCAGGGUGUGAGUCGUGACAGAAAAGGAGAUUAGAGAAGGGUAUGAGAACUGUAGAGGGAGCGCAAACAGAGAGAGAUAUCAGAUAUGCUGUGCCCUCGGAAACUAUUCAUACUUCUUGACUUAUUCCAGAUUAUGUUCUGUUCCAGCCUAAAUUUAAAAUGGAUUAAAACUUUGUUUUUACUCACCCAUCCACACACAAUACCUCAUAAUGACAAGUGCAAACAUGUUUUUAGACAUUUUUGCUAAUUUAUUGAAAAUUAAAUACAGAAAUAUUUCAUUUACAUAAGUAUUUACACCCCUGAGUCAAUAGAUGUUAGAAUCACCUUUGGCAGUGACUACAGCUGUGAGUUUUUUUUGUUAAGUCUCUAAGAGCAUUGCACACCUGAAUUCUACCAAAUUUAAAAUUCGUUAAGUUAAUUGUUGAUCAUUGCUAGACAGCCAUUUUCAAGUUUUGCUAUAGAUUUUGAAUCAAAAUGAUGUCAAAAACCAGGCCAUUCAGGAUGAUUCAAUGCCGUCUUGGUAAGCAACUCCAGUGUUUAUUUGGCCUUGUGUUUUAGGUUAUUGUCCUGCUGAAAGGUGAAUAUUUCUCCCAGUGUCUGUUGGAAAGCAGACUGAAGCAGGGUUUCCUCUAGCAUUUUGCCUGUGCUUCGCUCUAUUCUGUUUCUUUUUAUCCAAAAAAACUCCCUAGUCCUUGCUAAUUACAAGCAUACCCAUAACAUGGUGCGGACACCACCAUGCUCCCGAGUGGCUUAGUGGUCUAAGACACUGCAUCUCGGUACAAGAGGCGUCACUGCAGUACCUGGUUUGGAUCCAGGCUGCAUCACAUCUGGCUGUGAUUGGGAGUCCCAUAGAGCGGUUUUGGCCGGGGUAGGCUGUCAUUGUAAAUAAGAAUUGGUUCUUAACUGACUUGACUAGUUAAAUAAAGCUUCAAUAAAAAAGAAAUGCUUGAAAAAAUGAGAGUGAUACUCAUUGAUGUAUUGUGUUGGAUUUGCACUAAACAUAACGCUUUGUAUUCAGGACAUAAAGUUAAUUUCUUUCAGUUUUACUUUAAUGCCUUAUUGCAAACAGGAUGAUGAUGCAUGUUUUGGAAUAUUUUAUAGGUUUCCUUCUUUUCACAGUGUUGUUGAUCCAUCCUCAGUUUUCUUUUAUCACAGCCAUUAAACUCUGUAACUGUUUUUAAAAGUCACCUUUGGCCUCAUGGUGAAAUCUCUGAACGGUUUCCUUCCUCUCUGGCAACUGAGUUAGGAAAAUAGUGUAAUGAAAAACUUCACCAUGCUCAAAGGUAUAUUUAAUGUCUGCUUUAAAAAAGGUUUGCCCAUCUACCAAUAGGUGCCUUUUUUUGCUAGGCAUUGGAAAACUUCCCUGGUCUUUGUGGUUGAAUCUUUCUUUGAAAUUCACUGCAUUUUGACCCCUGAACUUAUUUACGCUUGCCAUAACACAGGGGUUGAAUACUUAUUGACUCAAGACAUUUAAUUUUGAAUUAAUUUGUAAAUAUUUCUAAAUAAUUCAAUGUUGACAUUAUGGGGAAUUGUGUGUAGGCCAGUGACACACAUUUUCAAUUGAAUCCAUUUUAAAUUCAGGCUGUAACAUAGCAAAAUGUGGAAAACGCCAAGGGGUGUGAAUACUUUCGGAAGAGAGCGGAUGGGAAAACGAUCAGGGUUGGAUUGCUGUGUGCGUGUGUACAUGCGUUUUGUGUGGAAAUCACUCAGGAACCCAGAAUGGCUCUUUGACCUUCAUCAUUAUUUACAUUGUGGAGAUGGAGGUCGUGCCAUUCACGUUCUGGCUAUGCUGCUACCAAUCAACUAUAAAGGAGAAAAAAGACUAAUUGGUUUCAAAUGUGGUACUCAUGAACUGAUGAGAUUAUAGAAUGUUUUACUAAAUGGGGCGGUUUCCCGGACACUGAUUAAGCCUGGGCUCAUAAGAAAUUCCAUUGAGUUUAGCUUUUUAGUCCUGGACUAGGCUUAAUCUGUGUCCUGGAAACCGUCCCUAUGUGUCGGUGAAUUGGCGCUCUGGGCAGUUGAGUUUUCAAUGAGGUGGUACUCACAGACAAGUUACUAGCAGUGCAAUGUCCUGCAUGAGAAUGUUCAUUUACCGGGAGGGUGGAAAUAAGCAGCAGAAGGUGUGUACAAAGUACAGUUGGAGUCAGAAGUUUACAUACACUUAGGUUGGAGUCAUUAAAACUUGCUUUUCAACCACUCCACAAAUUUCUUGUCAACAAACUAUAGAUUUGGAAAGUCGGUUAGGACAUCUACUUUGUGCAUGACACAAGUCAUUUUUCCAACUAUUGUUUACAGACAGAUUAUUUCACGUAUAAUUCACUGUAUCACAAUUCCAGUGGGUCAGAAAUUUACACUAAAUUGACUGUGCCAUUAAACAGCUUAUAAAAUUCCAGAAAAUGAUGUCAUGGCUUUAGAAGCUUCUGAUAGGCUAAUUGACAUAAUUUGAGUCAAUUGGAGGUGUAACUGUGGAUGUAUUUCAAGGCCUACCUUCAAACUCAGCGCCUCUUUGCUUGACAUCAUGGGAAAAUCAAAAGAAAUCAGCCAAGACCUCAGAAAAUAAAUUGUAGACCUCCACAAGUCUGGUUCAUGCUCGGGAGCAAUUUCCAAACAGCUGAAAGUACCACGUUCAUCUGUACAAACAAUAAUAUGUAAGUAUAAACACCAUGGGACCAAGCAGCCAUCAUACCGCUCAGGAAUGAGACGCGUUCUGUCUACUAGAGGUGAAGGUACUUUGGUGCGAAAAGUGCAAAUCAGUCCCAGAAUAACAGCACAGGACGUUGUGAAGAUGCUAGAGGGAACAGGUACAAAGGUAUCUAUAUCCACAGCAAAAUGAGUCCUAUAUCAACAUAACCUGAGAGGCCACUCACUCAGCAAGGAAGAAGCCACUGCUAGAAAACCAUCAUAAAAAAGCCAGACUACGGUUUGCAACUGCACAUGGGGACAAAAAUUGUACUUUUUGGAGAAAUGUCCUCUGGUCUCAUGAAACAAAAAUAUAACUGUUUGGCCAUAAUGACCACCGUUAUAUUUGGAGGAAAAAGGGGAGGCUUGCAAGCCAAAGGACACCAUCCCAACCGUGAAUCACAGGGGGUGGUAGCAUCAUGUUGUGGGGGUGCUUUGCUGUAGGAGGGACUGGUGCACUUCACAAAAUAGAUGGCAUCAUGAGAAAGGACAAUUAUGUGGAUAUAUUGAAGCAGCAUCUCAAGACAUCAAUCAGGAAGUUACAGCUUGGUUGCAAAUGGGUCUUCGAAAUGGACAAUGACCCCAAGCAUACUUCCAAAGUUGUGGCAAAAUGGCUUAAGGACAACAAAGUCAAGGUAUUGGAUUGGCUAUCACAAAGCCCUGACCUGAAUCAUAUAGAACAUUUGUGGCAGAAUUGAAAAAGCGUGUGCGAGCAAGGAGGCCUACAAACCUGACUCUGAAUUAGCGUGUGCGAGCAAGGAUGCCUACAAACCUGAACCUGAAUUAUUGUGGGAAGCUUGUGGAAGGCUACCCGAAACAUUUGACCGAAGUUAAACUAUUUAAAGGCAAUGCUACCAAAUACUAAUUGAGUGUGUGUAAACUUCUGACCCACUGGGAAUGUGAUGAAAGAAAUAAAAGCUUAAAUAAGUAAUUCUCUCUACUAGUACUCUGACAUUUCACAUUCUUAAAAUAAUGUGGUGAUCCUAACUGAUCUAUGGAAUUUUACUAGGAUUAAAUGUCAGGAAUUGUGACAAACUGAGUUUAAAUGUAUUUGGCUAAGGUAUUUGUAAACUUCCGACUUCAACUGUAUAUCAUACUUUGACUAAAACGAUGACUUAUUGACUUACAUCGCUGUGCAACAUCAUAGGUAAGCUCUGGUCAUCGUCUUUCAGCUCUAAAUUUGUUAUUUUUUUCUGGUAUGGGAGUAACGACCUCAUAAACAUUUAUGCGCCAUGUUGGUGGACUAUGACUGGAAGUGUCAUUUCUGGCAGCGUGAAAAAGGCCAUGUGCCCGGUGAGUGUUAAAUAAACCUUGCAAUAAUGUGACAAGGCAGCAUUGAUAGCUGAUGCAGUAUCUGUCAGCAAUCAGUUCUUGACUUGGACUGAAAUAUGUGCCAGUACUCAUUUUGGGGCCAGUACUGUUUAUAUUUAGGUGAGGAACUUUUGAGAUAAUAUUCUAUAAGAGUUGCGGAAACUCGAGCAGAUGAACAUUUGAGGUGUCGGUACUCAAUUCUGGUGCUCCUGCCCAAGUCAAGCGCUGGCAGUAGGGUUGCUUAGUAUCUGAAAAUAGAUAUGAACAGAUACUUCACUCUGGCCUUAUUCUCAUUUAGAAUACAACGCUACAUACUUGGAUCAGGCACACUCCACUGACCAGACCAUAUGUGGAAUUAAAAGAUGUUAGGGAUUUAGAACUGUUUCAAUAAUGCUUGUCAAUGCCAGUGGAAAGCUUCACCUCACCAUGCAAUGUUCAAUGGCACUCCAGACUGCUGUGACACAGAGCAGACACAGCAAGAGCAGUGCACUUGGCACACUGGGAAGCUUAGCUUAGCUUUCUCCCCAAUAAAACCUCACUGUCACACUGUUAUACAGUCUGCCUAAACAAAACAUGCGAGAUGAACAAAUGAUUAGAAAAAACAGACAUCUAUGACCACGGGAACAAUUGAAGCCUUCACUGAAGUGAUGGAGACACAAAACAACACAGAGGGUAUUUCAGUUCAGACGCUGUUCUUUUUUAAAUAUCAUGAAUACAAUAGUGGCUUAUGAAUAAAAGAUCAAUGGUGGCGUGGGAUUUGCUGGUCGGAGAAAAUGUCAUGUUGGUUUAAUGGUGGUGGGAGAAAGGUCUGACUGGCUGCACAGGGCCACGGUAGACCUGUAUGUGUGUCUGUGUGUGCAUGUGUGCUUUCAUUUUCGUGAAGGAGCUUAAAAGCCAGUUCCAUUUCCUCAUCUGAAAUGUUACACUUUAUCCUAAUAUAGGCUGUUAUGAGAAGUUGCCCUUUUAACUUUCUUUCUGAGGCAACAUGUGAGUAAAAUCUAAAAACGCCAUCGGAACAAGCACAUUAAAAAAUACUAGUUUACUAUAUAAUUCUACAGUACUUACUAUAGAAUUCUGUAGUAAUUUUUAUUUUACCUUUAUUUAACUAGGCAAGUGUCACGCCCUGGUCGAAGUAUUUUGUGUUUUUUUCAUGUAUUUGGUCAGGCCAGGGUGUGACAUGGGUUUUUGUAUGGGGUGUGUAGCUUAGUGGGAUUGUAGCUUAGUGGGGUGUUCUAGGAGAGUAUAUGGCUGUCUGAAGUGGUUCUCAAUCAGAGGCAGGUGUUUAUCAUUGUCUCUGAUUGGGAACCAUAUUUAGGCAGCCAUAUUCUUUGGUUGGAUUGUGGGUGAUUGUCUUGAUGUCCUAGUUGACACAAGUAUAGGCUGUUUUCGGUUUUCGUUUCAUUUAUUGUUUUGUAGUGUUUGUGUUUAUGUUGUGUGAUUAAACAUGGAUCGCAAUAUACACGCUGCAGUUUGGUCCGACUCUCCUUCACCAUAUGAAAACCGUGACAGCAAGUCAGUUAAGAACACAUUAUUUUACCUUGUCAGCUCAGGGACUUGAUCUAGCAACCUUUCAGUUACUAGUCCAACGCUCUAACCACUAGGCUACCUGUCGCCCCAGUAAACUAUAGAAUAUCGUAUUACACACUGUAGUAUCCCUCGAUCAUGUGUAUUACUUACUAUAGAAUGUUGUAGUAUACCGUAGAAUACUAUAGUAAAUAUUAUUUAAGUAUUAUCUGUUUUCUAAAUGUUUCUGAAUACUACAGUACAUUGCCGUGGGAAGAUGUUUGGGGGUGCUUUGAUUAAAAACUACAGUCUGCAGAAACAUGACACUUUACCAUACUAAAUAAAUAUUUACUACAGUAUUUAAUUUGCAUAUACAGUGCCUUCAGAAAGUUUUCACACCCCUUGACUUUUUCCACAUUUUGCUGUGAUACAGCCUGAAUUUAAAAUGUGUUUUUGUCACUCCGACACAAAAUACCCCAUAAUGUAAAAUUAGAAUUGUUUUUCAAAAUAUUACAAAUGGAUUAAAAGCUGAAAUGUCUUGAGUCAA